rnacentral:rRNA from 1 species
UCAGCAGCCGCGGUAAUACGAAGGGGGCUAGCGUUGUUCGGAAUUACUGGGCGUAAAGCGCACGUAGGCGGCAUUCCAAGUUGGAGGUGGAAUCCCCGGGCUUAACCUGGGAACUGCCUCCAAAACUGGGAAGCUCGAGUCCGAGAGAGGUGAGUGGAAUUUCCAGUGUAGAGGUGAAAUUCGUAGAUAUUGGAAAGAACACCAGUGGCGAAGGCGGCUCACUGGCUCGGUACUGACGCUGAGGAGCGACAGCGUGGGGAGCAAACAGGAUUAGAUACCCUGGUAGUCCACGCCGUAAACUAUGGGUGCUAGUUGUCGGGCAGCUUGCUGUUCGGUGACGCAGCUAACGCAUUAAGCACCCCGCCUGGGGAGUACGGUCGCAAGAUUAAAACUCAAAGGAAUUGACGGA